ACCUCCAUCUCCGUCUCCACCACCACCUCCAUCUCCACCGCCCCCACCUCCACCUCCACCGCCGCAACCUCCGGUAACUCCGCCGUGCUGCGACCACUGCGGCGUCUGCACCGUAGCGAUCUGGCCGUUGAAGCCCAAGUGUAGAUGCAGGGAUUUGCUGUCGGCAUGUCCUAGCUGGUGCCAGAAAUGCACCAGUUUCAUCAGUGGAAUAUAUGAGUGUAACGACGUUAUAACUGAUUACUGUGGGAAAAAGUGUACUGUUUGAGUGUCUGAGGACCUUGUUUCCUGG
rnacentral:misc_RNA from 1 species